ensembl:lncRNA
CGUUUCUAAAGUUUAUUGAAUUUGUUACAAUAUUGCCUCCUUUUUAUGUUUUGGCUUUUUGGCUGAGAGGCAUGUGAGAUUUUAACUCCCCAAUCAGGCAGCGAACCUGUAACUCUUAUACUGGAAGACAAAGUCUUAACCACUGGAGUAAGUAAGUAACCACCAGGUAAGUACCCAUACACUUUUAAUAUAAUCAGAAAAUAAUCUAUUUCAUUCAGGAAAACAAAGGCUAUCAAUAAGGAGAGUUAAAAGAGUAGGGGGCAAGACUAGGAGCAGCGACCAACUAAGAGAUUAUUGCAGUAGGUCAGAUGGAGGAGGAGGGCCUGAGCUCAGAAAGUGGCAGUAGGAGGGAGAAGUGAACUAUUCAGAAGGUAGAAUCAGACUUGGUGAGUGAUUAGAGGUAUUGGGGUUGUCGAUAGAGAAGGAGAAUUCUAGAAUGACACUCAGAGCUGUAUCUGGGGUGACUUGGUGAAUGGUGGCUCCAUUCACCGAGGUUAGAAGAACAGGAGGAUAUUCAGGUUUCAAGAGGAAGAUGAGGAAAUACCAAUAGGAGUAUUCGAAUCAGAAGGUCCUCAACUGGUAGCUGUAGGUGUUGUCUGUCCAGCACUCUACUCUAGACUUCCCCCAGUAAACCUCCUUUGCCUACUCCGCCUCUGUGAUGCUAAUAGUUGUUCUGGUCAUAGACACCACCAGUCAAGUACAGUUGAUUGGUCAAAGAUGGAAGCAUGCCCCAAAGUUCUUUUUAAAGUUUUUUUUUUUUUUAAUAUUGAAGACAAGACUGGUAAUAAAUCUUGGAAUCACCUCAUAUAGGUAUCGAUUAGAUCCAAGAAUGAAUGAGACUUCCUCCUAAGAAACCUGUAUGCAGGUCAAGAAGCAACAGUUAGAACCGGACAUGGAAUCACAGACUGGUCCCAAAUUGGGAAAGGAGUAUAUCAAGGCUGUAUAUUGUCACCUUGCUUAUUUAACUUAUAUGCAGAGUACAUCAUGUGAAAUGCCAGGCUGGAUGAAUUACAAGCUGGAAUCAAGAUUGCCGGGAGAACAAUCAACAACCUCAGGAUAUUCCAAAAGCUUUAGGAGCUUUGUGUCAGAAGACCAAAUAUAUAUUUCUGAUUAUAUAUCACAUGCCUUCAUUUAAAGCUGAGAUAACUGGAGGUGAGAGGCUAAUUUGAUUCAUGACUCAAAUCCAGGUCUUUGUUCUUUCUACUAUAUCACUGCCAGAAAGUCCUAUGGAUUUUGAUUAUUCUAUGUUGUUUAAAAUUUAUUUCUUUGUAUUAAUUUUUGGCUGCAUCAGGUCUUAGCUGCUGGCAUUUAUGGGCUCAGUUGCCUUGUAGCAUGUGGGAUCUUAUUCUCUGACCAGGGAUUGAACUUGUGUCCCCCAUAUUGGAAGUGAUUCCUAAUCUGUGGACCACCAGGGAAGUCCGUUUUUCUUUUUUUUAAUGAAAUUUAACAGAGUCAGUGUAGACAACUUGUUUUACUUUCCAAUUUCCUUCUCAGA